CAAUUACACACUACGUCGUACGAUUGAGACAAGGAAACUUGGAAUGACUUUUCAUAGGUUUCCCAGAGACUAUGGGUUGAGGAGGAAUUGGAAGUUUGUCGGCUUAGACCUGGUGUCAUUCCAUCAGUGUUAAACUUCCCAGCUCAUCUUGGAAGAGUACGUGCCAGAAAGACCACGAUCAAGCAGCCUUGAGAUCUUAGGCAGCGUCUCCCUCAGGUCCCUCUCUAUCUCCCUACACAUCCACCAACCACUGGAACACAUCUCCAAAGUUCUGCCGGGCCAGCUCAGCUUCCCCUCAGAAGAAGUGCUGCCACCUGCCAGAUGAAGGAGCCUUUUGAGAGGCAGCUGGCAUCGUGAUUGGACUGUACUUUGGUCUGUUCCAAUCCAGCUUCAGCUCCAGAGACGGCAGGCAGGACGAGUCAACGGAGGCCGGGUGGACGAAGACAUGAAGCUGAGUACAAUCCAGAAAACAACAGAGGAGGAGUGCAGGGCCAGAACAAACAGAUUAGCAUCGUAUGUCUCUGAGAAAACAUCAUAGUAUAGCCUUUGGUAAGAAAAAACACCAUCAUAUACAUCGUAUAUUGUACAAAUAACAAGUCAAAGCAAAGAGACAUACAUUGUAGAAUUGGAGUAAUUGUGGGCUGACUGAUUUACUGAUUAUCAGUAUUUUCUACUGAUUUACGGUAAUAAAUAAAUUUAAAAAUGGCGCUACUUUGGCUCUGAACCUUUAUCUACCUGUGGUCGCUCUGUCUUCUGGAGUGAUUUGAUUGGUUAUACGUCAUGAAUAAAACUC
ensembl:lncRNA